CCCCAGUAAACGGCGGCCGUAACUAUAACGGUCCUAAGGUAGCGAAAUUCCUUGUCGGGUAAGUUCCGACCCGCACGAAAGGCGUAACGAUUUGGGCACUGUCUCAACGAGAGACUCGGUGAAAUCAUAGUACCGGUGAAGAUGCCGGUUACCCGCGACAGGACGGAAAGACCCCGUGGAGCUUUACUGUAGCCUGAUAUUGAAAUUCGGUACAGUUUGUACAGGAUAGGUAGGAGCCUUAGAAGCGUGAGCGCUAGCUUACGUGGAGGCAUUGGUGGGAUACUACCCUAAUUGUAUUGGAUUUCUAACCCGCAGCACUUAUCGUGCUGGGAGACAGUGUCAGGCGGGCAGUUUGACUGGGGCGGUCGCCUCCUAAAGAGUAACGGAGGCGCUCAAAGGUUCCCUCAGAAUGGUUGGAAAUCAUUCAUAGAGUGUAAAGGCAUAAGGGAGCUUGACUGCGAGACCUACAAGUCGAGCAGGGUCGAAAGACGGACUUAGUGAUCCGGUGGUUCCGCAUGGAAGGGCCAUCGCUCAACGGAUAAAAGCUACCCCGGGGAUAACAGGCUUAUCUCCCCCAAGAGUUCACAUCGACGGGGAGGUUUGGCACCUCGAUGUCGGCUCAUCGCAUCCUGGGGCUGUAGUCGGUCCCAAGGGUUGGGCUGUUCGCCCAUUAAAGCGGUACGCGAGCUGGGUUCAGAACGUCGUGAGACAGUUCGGUCCCUAUCCGUCGUGGGCGUAGGAAAUUUGAGAGGAGCUGUCCUUAGUACGAGAGGACCGGGAUGGACAUACCUCUGGUGUACCAGUUGUCGUGCCAACGGCAUAGCUGGGUAGCUAUGUAUGGACGGGAUAAGUGCUGAAAGCAUCUAAGCAUGAAGCCCCCCUCGAGAUGAGAUU
rnacentral:rRNA from 1 species